rnacentral:rRNA from 1 species
UACAGAGAGUGCGAACGUUGUUCGGAAUUACUGGGCGUAAAGGGCGCGUAGGCGGCCAUCUAAGUCAGACGUGAAAUCCCCCGGCUUAACCUGGGAACUGCGUCUGAUACUGGACGGCUAGAGUAUGGGAGAGGGAUGUAGAAUUCCAGGUGUAGCGGUGAAAUGCGUAGAUAUCUGGAGGAAUACCGGUGGCGAAGGCGGCAUCCUGGACCAUUUACUGACGCUGAGGCGCGAAAGCUAGGGGAGCAAACGGG